CUGACGCCUGCCCGGUGCUGGAACGUUAAGAGGACCUGUUACCUCUCUUUGGAGGGGGAAGCGGAGAAUUUAAGCGCCAGUAAACGGCGGUGGUAACUAUAACCAUCCUAAGGUAGCGAAAUUCCUUGUCGGGUAAGUUCCGACCUGCACGAAUGGCGUAAUGAUGGCCAGGCUGUCUCCACCCGAGACUCAGUGAAAUUGAAAUCGCUGUGAAGAUGCAGUGUACCCGCGGCAAGACGGAAAGACCCCGUGAACCUUUACUACAGCUUGACACUGAACACUGAGCCUUGAUGUGUAGGAUAGGUGGGAGGCUUUGAAGCGUGGACGCCAGUCUGCGUGGAGCCGGCCUUGAAAUACCACCCUUUAAUGUUUGGUGUUCUAACGUAGGCCCGUGAUCCGGGCUGCGGACAGUGUCUGGUGGGUAGUUUGACUGGGGCGGUCUCCUCCCAAAGCGUAACGGAGGAGCACGAAGGUUGGCUAAUCCUGGUCGGACAUCAGGAGGUUAGUGCAAUGGCAUAAGCCAGCUUGACUGCGAGAGUGACGGCUCGAGCAGGUGCGAAAGCAGGUCAUAGUGAUCCGGUGGUUCUGAAUGGAAGGGCCAUCGCUCAACGGAUAAAAGGUACUCCGGGGAUAACAGGCUGAUACCGCCCAAGAGUUCAUAUCGACGGCGGUGUUUGGCACCUCGAUGUCGGCUCAUCACAUCCUGGGGCUGAAGUAGGUCCCAAGGGUACGGCUGUUCGCCGUUUAAAGUGGUACGCGAGCUGGGUUUAGAACGUCGUGAGACAGUUCGGUCCCUAUCUGCCGUGGGCGCUGGAGAAUUGAGGGGGGUUGCUCCUAGUACGAGAGGACCGGAGUGAACGCACCGCUGGUGUCCGGGUUGUCACGCCAGUGGCACUGCCCGGUAGCUAAGUGCGGAAAAGAUAAGUGCUGAAAGCAUCUAAGCACGAAACUUGCCCCGAGAUGAGUUCUCCCUGAGCCUUUAAGGCUCCUGAAGGGACGUUGAAGACGACGACGUUGAUAGGCCGGGUGUGUAAGCGCAGCGAUGCGUUGAGCUUACCGGUACUAAUGACCCG
rnacentral:rRNA from 1 species